rnacentral:rRNA from 1 species
UGCCAGCAGCCGCGGUAAUACGGAGGGUGCGAGCGUUAAUCGGAAUUACUGGGCGUAAAGCGCAUGCAGGUGGUUUGUUAAGUCAGAUGUGAAAGCCCGGGGCUCAACCUCGGAAUAGCAUUUGAAACUGGCAGACUWGAGUWCUGUAGAGGGGGGUAGAAUUUCAGGUGUAGCGGUGAAAUGMGUAGAGAUYGAAGGAAUACCGGUGGSGAAGGCGGCCCCCKGACAGAUACUGACAYUCAGAUGCGAAAGCGUGGGGAGCAAACAGGAUUAGAUACCMWGGUAGUYCACGCCGUAAACGAWGUYUACUUGGAGGUUGUGGCCUUGAGCCGUGGCUUUCGGAGMUAACGCGUUAAGUAGACCGCCUGGGGAGUACGGUYGCAAGAUUAAAACUCAAAUGAA